GACGUAGGGCGCAAGCGUUGUUCGGAAUUACUGGGCGUAAAGGGCUCGUAGGCGGCCAACUAAGUCAGACGUGAAAUCCCUCGGCUUAACCGGGGAACUGCGUCUGAUACUGGAUGGCUAGAGAUUGGGAGAGGGAUGCGGAAUUCCAGGUGUAGCGGUGAAAUGCGUAGAUAUCUGGAGGAACACCGGUGGCGAAGGCGGCAUCCUGGACCAACACUGACGCUGAGGAGCGAAAGCCAGGGGAGCAAACGGG
rnacentral:rRNA from 1 species